GACGAACGCUGGCGGCGUGCUUAACACAUGCAAGUCGAACGGCAAGGCCCUGCUUUUGUGGGGUGCUCGAGUGGCGCACGGGUGAGUAACACGUGAGUAUCCUGCCCUUGACUUUGGGAUAACUUCAGGAAACUGGGGCUAAUACCGGAUAGGAGCUCCUGCUGCAUGGUGGGGGUUGGAACGUUUCGGCGGUUGGGGAUGGACUCGCGGCUUAUCAGCUUGUUGGUGGGGUAGUGGCUUACCCAGGCUUUGGCGGGUAGCCGGCCUGGGAGGGUGACCGACGACAUGGGGACUGCGAUACGGACCAGACGGCUACGGUAGGCAGCAGGGGGGAGUAUGGCACAAUGGGCGGAAGCCUGAGGUAGCAACGCCGCGUGCGUGAUGACGGUCUUCGGGGUGUGAACCGCUUUCGCCUGAGACGAAGCGUGAGUGACGGUAAUGGGUAAAGAAGCACCGGCUAACUACGUG
rnacentral:rRNA from 1 species